GAUAUCAAUAUUUCAAUCUCGCUAAUAGCAGGCCGCUUAAGCCAUCGUUCUGGAGGAAGGAUUGAACCUUUUAUGGCAAAAUAACUAUUCUGAGCGACACAAGAUAUAGUCCUAGGCCCAAUGGCUUCCUCGGUGUCCACAGAUGAGACAACUAACUAUGCACGACUGUGCCGUCUUCUGGUGGAUAAGGGAUCUAAAGCAUUAAGAGAUACUUUUGAUGGCAUUCACCCCCCUGCAGACCUCCACAAAGUGUUAACGCAGCCUCCGCAUAAUGCAACUUUAAAUACUCUCAAGACGAAAAAGAUUAUCAAUUCUUCACAAUGGGGAGAUCUAUUUCCAGCGGUCCAAUCAUCUGUUUCAUCAAAAAGAUUUGAUGUGACGCUAUUAAUGGUUCUGCUAAGAAAUAUUUGUAGGCUGGCACAGCCGGCCACUGGCUGGGACAAUCUUCCUCCUGAUUCAGACAAGAGUAAAGAAGCUAAUAUAGCCCGAAUAAAGUACUAUCGUAAUACUGUUUAUGGCCAUGCCAGCCAAGCGUCCGUCGAUUAUGCUACAUUUAACAGCUGCUGGACAGCUAUCAGCAAUGCAAUAACAGGACUGGUGGGGGAAAAAUACGAAGCUGAUAUGGAAAACCUUCGGGUUGGGUCCAUGGAUCCUGUUUCAGAGGAACACUAUAAAAAACUGUUAAGGGAGUGGAAGAAAGACGAAGACAGCGUCAAAGAAAGGCUUGAGGAGAUAGACGAAAACGUGAGAAAAGGCCUGGAGCAGAUAAAAGGUGACAUGGGAAAGGAACUAGAGCAAAUAAAAGGUGACAUGGGAAAAGGACUAGAGCAGAUAAAAGGUGACAUGGGAAAUAUUGGAGAGAAGUUGGAAAAUUUCAUGUACCGAACAGAAGAAAUGGAAGAUGAAGAACCAAGAGCAGGCAACAACGUCAACAACUUUGACGUCCAAGUCUAUGUUAGCCUUCCUAUUACUACAGCAAUGCCUCCAAACCCAGGUCUACAGCCACGGAAAGAUUUAGAAUUUUUCGGACACGAUUAUCCAGGUCAGGUGAUACACCAAGUUCAAAAUUUACCUGGUUCACCUCGUUUGUCCCUUUCAAGUCAAAAUGAAGAUAAUACCCGGCAACAUGAAAAUCAACGUUGCGAGAACAAGGACUCGCCGCCAGUUAACGGCACCUCGGCAAGCACAGAUGUAGAAUCUCCGGGAUACGAUUAUCCAAGUCUGGUCGCGGUAACACAACCACCUCAACAUCGUCCACCUCUUCCAUCCCUUCCGAUUGAAAAUGAAGAAGAUACUUAUUACCUAAGUCUAAAAUGGCAGAACGAGGACCCGUUACCGGGUAAUGGCAUUUUCGUUAGCACAGGAGACUCAGAUGAAGCUAACUCAUUCCUUGAGAAUGUCGAACAGGCCAUCAAGGAGUUCGACAGCAUGAAUGGGACAACGAAGGAUGAAAGGGAGCAGUGUAUUCUUCAACUCGUCUUACCAAAUCUGGAAGAGAAAUGGAAAAAGUCAAGCACAAAUAGAAGGAAAAUUUACAUUGAUUUGGUACAGAUUGGCUGCAGCAGAACCAGCCCUAACACUGUGAGGCAUAGUCUCCGACAGUUGCUCCGUUUGAUGCUAUUGGACAACCUUGAAAGUGGAGACUACAACUUGCUUGGUCUAGAGAGCAUUAUAAGAUUGUCGAUAAGCUCCCCUGAUGCAGUUUUUAAGGAAGAAGGACAUCAAGAGAGACUACUCAGACUGUCUGUGUACAGUCAGACUCUUGCGUUGUUGAUUAUUCAGAAGUGUCAGAAAUGGCUCUCCUCUGAUGAUAUUACGCGUGAAUUGUUACAGUUACGGGGACAUUUGGGAAAAUCUUACAACCAGACGAAGGAUCUUUUUCACUACUCAAUGGAAUUCAUCACGCAAGCCAUUAGAUUUUUAGCACAAAAAAGGAAAAAAUUUGAGAAAUCCGAUGUAAUGGCUUUCCUUAAAGAAUGUAAAGAAUCGUUUGAUCCGCAUUAUGCAGGAAACGGAGAGUUAACAUUCAUACAGAUAUUGAAGAGCCCCAAGAGUAAUAAAAGAAAAUGGUUUGCUUUGCAUUGUGUCAUAUGGUAUCUUUAUUUUAAGACUUACAAUGAGGACACUAAUCAUCGAUUGCAGACAGACAGACAAUCAGUGCUUUUAUUACGGAGUGUGAUUGAAGCUUACAGCGUAGGAGAUGGCAAAAAGAGGUCUGGAAAUGACUGGAAGUUUUUUGUGCUGGCAGGCUCAGUUUUGUCGGACAUCACGAUGAACAACAUAAACAGGGAAAACAGAAUAGAUGCUUGUACCUGUUUGCUGAACUUGGUGAAAAAGGGAGUUUGGAGAGGGAUCCUUGAACCUCUGUCGCGACAGGUGUUGCUUAGCCCAGACAGUUACGUUCGUUCGUUAAUGGCAGAUGCGCUGUGCACUGAAGACAAUUCGUGUUGUGCUAUAACUGAGGGGCAUCACAUCGACCACCUUGUGACGAAAUUUCCAGCACUUGAGGUUAACAACGAAAUCAUCAGUCGAAGUGAUCGAUGUUUUGUAAUAAAGGCAGUAUUCAGUGGAAGAGAAGCUGUCCUGAAAGUGAUGUACGUCACAAACCAGAACGUUAGGGGGAGGAUGCCGUCAGAUUGCCAACAAGCAAAUCUGCGCUUCAUCCGAGAAGCUUAUUUUCUAAGUCGCAUCCAACGGCAUCCAAAUUUCCCUAUUCUUCUCAGUUACAACACGGAGACGUUGCCGUAUCAUCUCAUCACUGAAUACGAAAGUCAAGGAAACCUCUUGCAGCUACUUCAAAGGGCGCAUGAUCAACACUCCCGGUUGGAAGAAAAUUUGCUUCUGCAAAUGCUCAUUAACAUAGCUGAUGCACUUCGAUACUUGGAAAAACUGCACUUGGUGCACCGUUCUGUUAUGGCAAAGAAUGUUCUCGUAGGGGAUGACAACGUUUGCAGACUUAGUGGCCUCCAUUCCUUACGACCAACAGACUGGGGUCCAUUAACUGAAGCUGAAGAUGUCAACGAUGACCUCCCAUUGAAGUGGAAAGCUCCUGAGUGCUUACUGGAACAUCAUUACUCUACAGCGUCUGACGUGUGGGCGUUCGGGGUCGUUAUGUACGAAGUACUAACCCUUGGUUAUUCUCCAUUUGGAAAUUUAAGCGAUAAAGAUGUCUACAAUUAUGUUACGAUGGGAGGAACACCGCCUCUUGGAGCGUAUUUCGAAGAUAACGAAAACAACCUCAUGAAACAGUGCUGGGAAAGGAAAAGAAGCGAGAGAAUCAGCUUUCCAAAGCUAUCCAGCAGACUCAAGAAGAUGAAUGCAGAGCUGAAAACAGCAGGUGUUGCAAGAAGGAAGUCAAGGCCUGAUCUGCAACCAUCCCUGGCAAAUCCAAAAGUAACCGCGGAAAGGGAAGACGAUGCCUCGUAUACGAUGAGAAAGGAAAGUUCACGUGUUGUGGAGAAGAUCACGGCUAAAGAUAUACUUUACCAUGAACCGUUGAAAAAGCUCAGCCAUCCAAACAUCUCCAUUUCCCUAUUUUGGACGAAGAGCUCUCCAGAAAUUGAAAUAAUUUCUAUGAGAUGCGAUCUCGGGAACCUUAAAGAUUACGUGAUCAGCGGAAGAAAAGGAGGCUCUUGCGAGAGAGGCGACUUAUUUAUAUUCCUAUCCCAGGUAGCAUCUGCGCUCAAUUAUCUCCAUACUGAGCAUAUUGUUCAUGGAAACCUCCGCGCCGAGCACGUAAAUGUUGUGAGUUCUAAACAGGUUCAGAUUACCCAUCUUGGCCGAUCCAAGCGUUUGUCAACAAGACCAGAUGAGGAAACCAGCAAGGGUUGCUGGGAAAAGGCAUACAUGCCACCUGAUUCUACUCGCUGGAGCGCGCCAGAGGUGAUAUCUCAGGGACAGUACAGUCACGCUAGUGAUGUGUGGUCAUUCGGUGUCCUAGCAUGGGAAAUAUUUGCAGCGUUUCAUGAUAGCAACAUGAUGCCACGACAAACGAGACCUUACUAUAACCAUACAAAUGACGAGAUUUUGCAGAGUAUCAAAAAAAACGAGCAACUAGCAAAACCACUUUCCUGUCCAGACUGGGUAUAUCUCCUGAUUCAAGAAUGUUGCUCAUAUAUAGCCGAGGAAAGGCCACCCGCAAUUGCUCUCUUUGACUGUCUGACAUGCAGAAUGCCAAUGAAAUCUUGGUUGAUGGAAGUUUGUUCAAACAGCCACACGAAAAGGGAGUUGCAUGAAGUGUGCCAGCCAGAGGAUGCGUGUCACUUGUUACAGGAAAAAGAUCGUCCUCGAAAAGAGGACAUCGAGAAGAUGUGCUUAAAGGGUUUCUUCACAAAAUAUGAAACCCAAUGCAUUUACAGUGAAGAAGAAGGAUACGAAGACAUAAGCCAAUUUCAAGAACUAGGUUGUAAUUUUAAAUUUUCAUUUUCAAUGCGACUCUCCGGGACAUAUUUACACCAUUUUACUUAUUUUAAAGGCACCUUUUCCUGCCAUGUCCUGGUGCACCUCCCUCACUGGGUUGUCAUGCCACCUCUCAUAUUCUAUUUGGACCAAUUCGGAGAUUCUACUCACAAUAUGGCUGACUGGUUCAUUUUCCUGGUGACAUAUUCCAUCUUGGUAUUCUUUUGGGUCUUUUCGAUAUUUAUUUUUAAUGCCUCGUUUUAAGCAGAACUGAUAAUUUGGGAUUCCGCUCAACCAUCAUCGGGUAUUCACAAUGCUCUCAUUCCCCUCUGGUCGUAUAACUUCCCUUCUUUCGCUCUACUCUAAUUUCAGCUCUCAUUCGUUCUUUAAUUCCAGCCUUUGUUGUAUACGGAGUUAUAUACGGAGUUUCCUUUGUCUCGUUUUAAUUAGCUACCUAGAGCAACUUCUCGUCACUACGUCGAAUGCAACUCCGCAGUGAAAUCGUAAUAUUCAUUUUAUCAUGGAAAGGCCUCUGCCUACUACAAGGUAGCUGUUUCUUAUUCAUUUUAUGCUGAUCUCUACCGAUUGGUUUAACUCUUAUUCUCCUGCAGGUUCGUUCGCUAACGGAGACAUACACGCAUCUAAAAACGUAGGGCAAUGGCCUCUACCUCCACGUCCAUCUCCACCAACAUUGGUUAGAGAAACGAUCA